AAAUCAUUUUCUUUUCGGAGACUUAUGAUAAAAUUGGAACGAUACAGAGAAGAUUAGCAUGACCCCUACGCAAGGAUGACACGCACAAAUCGAGAAAUGAAAAACUUGUUCUAUCAUCUGAAGUGUCUUUGCUGCAAUUCCUGACUCUCCUUAUGGCCUUCUGUGCCAUGAUAUACGAGACUGUUGGCAGCUGAUUUCUUCACGCACCCUAAAUAAAAGGCCAACAUGAGAGGAUAUGAAAAGUAUGUUGCGAACAAAAGCAUACUUUGUUUCAGCCUUUUGGCUUAAAUUACGUAUUUCUCAUCUGUUGAAUAUUUGAUUUACGGGUGAGUUUGUUUAGAGGGAACCAAGGAGGUAUUCGUCACAAUAGCCUGCAGAACUCUCAUGGUAUGCUGUAGGAAAUAACCAUUUUUAUUUAUUAUAUCUGGAUUUGAGAAAUUGUUAUUAACAUUGAUCACCAUAAUGUGUAGUCAAAAUCUAAUGUUUUCCAUAAAAAUACUUACACUCGUAAAUUUUCCUGUUUGUAAUGGACUAUUGGUCAUUCGACAUGUCAAAUUGUCUCACAUAGAGAAGCGACAUUUGAGGCCGGAAUGGAAGAAAAGAUAGAUAGAGGGCCAAACAACAACUGUCCAAGUUCAACCCUUAUCAGGGAAAAAUCUAUGGAGGUUCCAAUGUUUAUUGAAGCGAAGCUAGGAGCAAGAAAGAAAUGCAUGACUCCUGUACAAGGAUGAUACGAACAAGAUGAGAAACGGUCCAACUAUAUAUCUAUAGUUGUCUCUUUUUCUUUACCAGGUUAUGUUCUCUCUUCUGAAGUUUGAUUCUCAAUAACUCCACCUUACAACUUUAUCUGUCUAAAGUCCAAACUCAGUUAUGGAUUGUCUAAACAGUCGUUGCUUUUGACAUUUGUCAAGUGCUACACAUGGUCUGCAUAAGUGUUUGUACUCUCCUAGAGCACCAUAAUGCCUCUGACAAUGCAAGAAGGUAUUGAUAAAAUUAGUACUUAUUGUAUGCCUAUCUGCAGUAAUUUGAUUACUCUGAUUUCUUAUUAAAAUUCAGUUGUUUCAUUGCAAAUAUAUCAUCAGCUUGUGUCCAUGUCAAUAGCAAUUUGGAACUUUCUUUUUUAUCAUUGAUUACCAAACAGUUAGAGAGCUGAUAGGUCACUUGUUGAUAAGGAAACUUGCACUAGACUUUUUGGAAGCUCCUUUAAAAGAACUCCCUCCAAAAAUAAACGUAUGCCACUGAAUGCAACGAGCACACGGUAUUCUUUAGUAAAAGGCGAAAGAAUAGUUCUCUUUGUGUUCACUGCGUGGCUGCGUGAGUGUAUAAAGAAAUUGGUUCAGUUAUUUAUAAUGUAGUCGUUGUUUGGAUCUUAUUUCUUGAUUGAUGUGGGACUGGUGUGCUUUUCCCUUGCAUCUUACAGUGAAUAUUUAGCUCUAGGGAAAGAUAUUCACACAAACUAAAUGUUUUGCUCGCAUCUUAAUGCGUGGUUGAUUCUACUGAUAGAAAAUGUCAUUUGUUUGAUGUUACUUCAGAACUAUGUAGCUGAACUUUUUGGUUGUACAUUUGAGAUUUUCUGCUGAAUAGGAACUUGAAUUACUUUAAGGGUGGAUAAAAAGAUUAAUCUUCGCCACUGGAUAGCAAGACUGGAAUCAAUCUACUUUAAUGGCAGAGUUUGUCCAAUCCUUGUGUUGAAACAACUGAAGCUAUAGCUUUUAAAUUCCAUCACCCAACAAUUGAUCUCCAAUUACAGUAUUUUUGAGAAUUGAAUAAUUUACAGUAUUGGUAAAAUUAUACCCAAGUAAAGUGGACGUGUUAUCACUGUUUAUAGCAUCACUUAUUUGACCCAAAUAAAGUAAGAACUCAUAAAUCAAGUAAUGUUCCAUGCCAAAGACGUAAGAGUCGUGCAAGAACAAAUAAAUUGACCCAAAUAAAUUAAGAACAUAUAAAUUCACACCUAUUUUAUAAAUGUGUGUAAGAUUAAAAAAUUUAAAAGAACUAUCUACUUGUAAAACGGUAUCUUGUGGAUGGUUCUACGAAGGUUAGUUGUUUAUCUUUAUCAUCCUACUCCCUCCGUCCCAGAUUAGUUGUUACACUUUCCUUUUUCGGCCGUCCCAAAUUAGUUGUUACACUUCUAAAUUAGGAAUGACCCCACAAUUAAUAUAUUGUCUCUCUCUUCCCACUAUAUAUUUUUUUGUCCCCACACCCUCUCUCAAUCAAUUAAAAAAAUACCCCACUAACUCCUAUCACAUCUACUUUUUCAAUAAAAUAACAAUUGAUAACCAAACAACCACUUAUCACCUAAAACUUUGUGCAAAUGAAAGUGUAACGACUAUUAUGGGACGGAGGGAGUAAUAUGUUUAGGGGGCUUAGGAACUGUAGAGUUAUUUUCUAAUAGGAGUUUAGAAGCUCACUGUAAGGUGGGUGUGUGUGUUUGUGCGCGCGUGCGCACAACCAAAUGUAAGUGUGAGUGUCCAACUUGUGUGAUGCAUUAUUUUUAGUCGAGUAAUAUUUUGUGCAUGGUUCUCGUGAGAGAUUUUACAAGUUGUGUGUGUUUCUCACUAUUGUUUUCCUUUGACUCCUUUACUUUCAUAUUUUGACCCCUUACAUCCACCAGACUUGGUUAGGUUCAUAAUACAGGAACCAUACAAACAUGGCACACUAGAGAAAACAUUUUUUGCUUCAUUGCGGUUUAAGAACAUGUGGUUUGUAAAUCUACCAAAAACAAGUUUUAGUUUGGCUACUGAUAUUAAAUUCAUUUGUGGUUAUAUUUGAUGGCAUUGUUGAGUUUGUUCAUUUGUCUAAAGUUACCAUAUUUGAGCUAAUUAUAGCAUUUAUUCCAGUAAAAUGGUUGUAGAUGUUGUUAUGCUUUUGUUUUUGAAGAGAGCGUGUAUCAUUUUAUUCGGUGAUCUCAGCUCUUGCCUUCCAUUUUGGGGCCUUUCUGAGAGUAGAAGUCAAGGUUGUAGUUAUACAAGUUUAGUUGCAGACUGUCGUGUCUUAAGACUAGUGUAGUUUAAUUCUACAAUUAUUUGGUACUUGGAUGCUCUAAAAUUCUGAAGGUUUUGGCAUCUGGGGUGGAGAGUCGUGUAGUACUUGUAACUGGUGCGCUAAGGCUUUUGCUGAAGGAAGAAGUACCUACUUGAAUGCUCAACGAAGCAGACCUUAUGCCAUUUAAUGCGGCGAAGAGGUACCCACUUAAAUGCUCUAGUCUCUGUUGAAAAUAAUGAAACCAGAAUCUGGAGGUUUAAGAUGACAAAUUAACAAUUGAUCUUUAAUUACUAUAUGCGAGAGACAUACCAUUAACAGUAUUUCUACAAUUCAAUGGAUUCAAUUGAUGUGACACUUUGUAUGGAUAACAUUUUUUAGGAACAGGGAUGAACUGCAGAAUUAGAGACCACAUAGAGCUCUUCAUAUUUUCUUCGUACAUACAUGUUAUGAUUGCGAGUGAUAAGAGGAAAACUGUUUAUUUGUACACUAAGUGUUUGGUAUAUUUCCUUUACAUGAGCUCUUUCAGGCAAUGAAUGGAGUGCGUUAUCCCAACUUUUGUUUUGAAGUACAUUGAUGGGAUAUAUUCUUAUGAACUUACACAUUGAUAUGAAGAUAUAGGAAAGAAGAAGAUCAAAUAUGAUUGGUAACUGUAGAAUAAGCAAUAAUGAAGAUCAGUACAAGCGUUUGAGAAGCUUUUCCCCUCCCAAAAUGCAAAAGGAAGCUUAAAUAAACUCUCAAUUGUAUUAGACAAUUUCUCCUUUUCUUCUCGCUCUCAACGCUAACUAAUUCUCAGAUUCUCCCUCAAACAGAAACAUGAAUUCAUACCCCGUAGUACCCUUCCCUUAGGUUAGUUACUUGCAGAGAGUUGUCUUCUUCGGGCUCGGUCUAAUGCCAAUAGGGUCAUAUUUUCCUUGUCUGAUUUACAACAUAGUUAGCAAACCAAAGUUCCAGCAAACUCACUUUUCUUUUACUGAUGUGUUCUGUUACAUUUCUUGAUAGAAAAAUUGUUGGUUCUUUUAAGGUAACAAAAUGAGGUUAAGUUAGGAACAUAUGCUAUUGAAAUCUUCCUGUUUGUUGCUAUUGACAAAAAUUUGUCACUUGGCAGAAAGAAGGGAAAAUCAAUUAUUAUUUUUUCAAUUUGAUUGAUUUUAAGUACUAAUAUGCUAAGAGAAGCAUUUCAAUGUUUUGUACUUAUGCUUCAUCUUGAGUUGAAAGUGGCGUAUGCUUCAUCUUGAGCUGAAAGUGGCGUGAGAUCCUGCCCAGAAAAUUCUAAUGUAUUAUCACAACAGGUCCAACACGUCAAACAGCGAAUCAUUCAUGCUUAAAAAGUGCCAAAUCUGAAGAUGUCAAGACAGGCAGGCAGGACACUAGGUAAACCUUUUUGCUCACAUGUUGUCAUGGAAGAAGUAGAGACUUGGGGAAGUAUUUAAGUGAACUUUUUUUUUUUUUUUUUUUUUUUUGUCGGGAAGUAUUUAGUGAGGUUAUUUUCACACCUUUUGAAGCUACUCAACUAGUGAGAUAUGUGUCAAAUAAAGGGUAAAUGAAGUAAUAUUAUUAAAGUAUGCCAUUUAUAGAAACGAACCAUAUUAAGGGACGUAGGGAGUAUACUUCAAUUUCCCCUAUAAGAUUGUCUUUUCAGAGACAAGUCAGUGGACUCCGGAACCAUUCUUGACCACGCGACACAUCUGAUAAACUAGUAUUUUGGUGGUAUUCGAUCAGUAUGGUUUCCCUGAAAAGCAGAGCCUUCUGGCUGGGAUUGAUUUGCAAUGGUGAUACUCAAUAGACAUGUCCUAAUGUCCCUGAUUUGUUCACAUCAAACAUCAGUCAAUCACAUGUUACUGUGUUUCACAAUGAGGUUUACAGAAGUAUUAUUCUGCAUUGAAAAGAUAUUGAAGUAAUGUUUUGGCAGUUAUGAACUUUUGGUUCAUGUUGAAGUAAAUUUGUAUGAUCAUCGUUGCUAUAAUCAGGCCUAAAGCACUGAAAUACUUGGAAGUGCCAUUAUAUGAAGAUGUUUUGGAAAGGAAUCUCAUUAAAAAGAUUUACUCCUUGGUAUCAAACAACUCCUGCAAUAGCAAGUUCAAAUUGUUCAUAAUAAGUUUGCAAAGUACUUGGCCUUGUGGCUGUGGGAUUUGCAUAAAGUUAUCCCUUGAUGGUUAGUCAACGAUUAAUGCGUAAUGUUAUUCCUUAAACAAUUUUCACUUUAUAAAGUUAUGAUUUGACUAUAAGCUUGUCAAAUGCUACACAUGGUGUCACCAGGCAAGUAAGACAAUGAAGGACACUCAACAAAUUUCAUAUCACGAAGACGAGGCAUGUCACCGGGCUUCAAUUCGUCCCACCUUAUAAGUCUUUCUUGUUGGAAAUAAUGCAUUGUAACCAUGAAAAUUAACAAUAAAAUAAUAGGGAAGAACACAAUACUCAAUAAUUGAUCUCAAAAGCUGUGACGGGUUUUACGCCUGCCCUAGAAGCGUAUUUCGCCACCACCGGUACAAGGUUCUCAAUGACGAUUGCUCCCCAAGGGUAACAUAGCUAUCUUCCAACUCUGUACCCCGAUUGGAAGGCUGGAAUUACUUCAAGAACUGCUCAGAUCUCUAUGGGAUAAUGAUGACAGAGAAAGUAAUUUUUAGGCUUUUUAUAUAUGUUUCUCUAUGUCUCUGGGUUUUUAUGUUUCUCUAUGUCUCUGGGUUUUUAUGUUUCUCUAUGUCUCUGG